UACGUAGGGGGCUAGCGUUGUCCGGAAUCAUUGGGCGUAAAGCGCGUGUAGGCGGUCCGGUAAGUCCGCUGUGAAAGUCGGGGGGCUCAACCCUCGGAUGCCGGUGGAUACUGUCGGGCUUGAGUACGGAAGAGGCGAGUGGAAUUCCUGGUGUAGUGGUGAAAUACGUAGAUAUCAGGUGGAACACCGGAGGCGAAGGCGGGUGACUGGCCAAACACUGACACUGAGACCCGAAAGCGUGGGGAUCAAACAGG
rnacentral:rRNA from 1 species